CAUGAGUACAUCCGCAGAUUCCCAUCAACAUCUAGCCUUAGCAAUCGAAAAUUUACCGCGUCAUUGUGAUCAUCUCCAAAGACAGACCACAUAGGCUUCAAAGUUUGGUCCACAAGUUGCAGAAUUCCAUCAGAGGUAAGCACAGCACUGAGGUUGGACAUAGAUGGAUUUCUGCUGGUCCAGUACAUGACAUCACUUUCCCACCUUAGCUGUAACUGGCCUGAAGCAUUCAUAUAAAGACUGUAGUAACUUGACACAGAAUUUUUGCUAGCAGCUCUAAGUGUUUUAUAAAUGGAUAAACUCUGGCCCGGAAGAAUUGUGUCAGAAGGAUUGUCAAAGCUUUGCCAAACAACUGAC
rnacentral:misc_RNA from 1 species